rnacentral:rRNA from 1 species
AUGCUUUGGGAUGACCUCCUUGUGGAUGUUUCCUGCAUCAACACCACGGCGUUCUGCCUUUCCGCCAUGGUCAGUGUGCGAGGGACCGACAUGCUCUUCAAGAUCACCUCCGUCUACGGUCCCUCAGACUCCUCUUGCAAAGAUGCCUUCUUUGCCGAGCUGCUGGCAGAGAAACCACCGACCGGGGUGGCCUGGCUUGCCACAGGCGAUUUCAACCAAAUUUACAGGGCGCGAGAUAAAAAUAAGAGAAAUGUCAACCGCGGCAGGAUCAAUCGUUUCAGGGCAACGCUCCACAGUUGUGAGCUCAAAGAGAUCCACCUUCAAAACCGAAGAUUCACUUGGAGCAACGAGAGGGCAAAUCCAACCUUAUGCAAGCUUGACUCUUUUUUCUGCAACGCCGAGUGGGACAUAGCUUUCAACACUCAUGUCCUUAAUGCGCUUUCCUCCUCUCUCUCCGACCAUUGUCCGCUUCUUCUUGCCGAUGUUAAGGGACAAAGAAGGCCUCGAGUGUUUAAAUUUGAAAAGUUCUGGGCAUCUAUGCCCGGAUUCAACGAGGUGGUUCAAAAGGCGUGGAACGAGAGGGUCGACCACACUGAGCCAUACCUCAUUCUUUACCACAAGCUCAAGAAGACGGCUCUCCGCCUCUCUGAAUGGAGUAGAGGUCUUUUCUCCAAGGCUAAAAUUCACCACUAG